UACGGAGGGCGCAAGCGUUGUUCGGAAUCACUGGGCGUAAAGCGCGUGUAGGCGGCUUGGUAAGUCGGGUGUGAAAGCCCGGGGCCUAACCCCGGAACUGCACUCGAAACUGCCUCGCUAGAGUCUCGGAGAGGGUGGGGGAAUUCCCGGUGUAGAGGUGAAAUUCGUAGAUAUCGGGAGGAACACCAGCGGCGAAGGCGGCCACCUGGACGAUGACUGACGCUGAGACGCGAAAGCGUGGGGAGCAAACAGG
rnacentral:rRNA from 1 species